ACGAAAGAAAAUAGCGAGACAAGCUCAUACUUUAUCAAAAAAAGCCAAAAAUCUACGUGGAAUCAAAGCAAAAUUAUACAAUCGGAAACGCAGACUUGAGAAAAUACAACUACAAAAAACAAUUAAAAAACAUCAAGAAAAACUUUCUAAACACACAAAUCCUCCAGAAACUGAAAAAGGCGCCAUUCCUAAUUAUCUGCUUGAUCGUGGGACCCAGU